UGGGGAAUAUUGCACAAUGGGCGCAAGCCUGAUGCAGCCAUGCCGCGUGUAUGAAGAAGGCCUUCGGGUUGUAAAGUACUUUCAGCGGGGAGGAAGGGAGUAAAGUUAAUACCUUUGCUCAUUGACGUUACCCGCAGAAGAAGCACCGGCUAACUCCGUGCCAGCAGCAGCGGUAAUACGGAGGGUGCAAGCGUUAAUCGGAAUUACUGGGCGUAAAGCGCACGCAGGCGGUUUGUUAAGUCAGAUGUGAAAUCCUCGGGCUCAACCUGGGAACUGCAUCUGAUACAGGCAAGCUUGAGUCUCGUAGAGGAGGGUAGAAUUCCAGGUGUAGCGGUGAAAUGCGUAGAGAUCUGGAGGAAUACCGGUGGCGAAGGCGGCCCCCUGGACGAAGACUGACGCUCAGGUGCGAAAGCGUGGGGAGCAAACAGG
rnacentral:rRNA from 1 species